rnacentral:rRNA from 1 species
AGUGAACGCUGGCGGUAGGCCUAACACAUGCAAGUCGAACGGCGGCACAGUAAGAGCUUGCUCUUACGGGUGGCGAGUGGCGGACGGGUGAGGAAUACAUCGGAAUCUACUUUUUCGUGGGGGAUAACGUAGGGAAACUAACGCUAAUACCGCAUACGACCUACGGGUGAAAGAAGGGGAUCUUCGGACCUUGCGCGAUUGAAUGAGCCGAUGUCGGAUUAGCUAGUUGGCGGGGUAAAGGCCCACCAAGGCGACGAUCCGUAGCUGGUCUGAGAGGAUGAUCAGCCACACUGGAACUGAGACACGGUCCAGACUCCUACGGGAGGCAGCAGUGGGGAAUAUUGGACAAUGGGCGCAAGCCUGAUCCAGCCAUACCGCGUGGGUGAAGAAGGCCUUCGGGUUGUAAAGCCCUUUUGUUGGGAAAGAAAAGCAGCAGGUUAAUACCCCGCUGUUCUGACGGUACCCAAAGAAUAAGCACCGGCUAACUUCGUG